rnacentral:rRNA from 1 species
UACGUAGGGUGCAAGCGUUGUCCGGAAUCAUUGGGCGUAAAGCGCGCGUAGGUGGCUUCGUAAGUCGUUGUGAAAGUCAAAGGCUCAACCUUUGAAUGCCGAUGGAUACUGCGGAGCUAGAGUACGGAAGAGGCGAGUGGAAUUCCUGGUGUAGCGGUGGAAUGCGCAGAUAUCAGGAGGAACACCAAUAGCGAAGGCAGCUCGCUGGGACGUUACUGACACUAAGGCGCGAAAGCGUGGGGAGCGAACAGG